CCUACGGGAGGCAGCAGUAGGGAAUAUUGCUCAAUGGGGGAAACCCUGAAGCAGCAACGCCGCGUGGGGGAUGAAGGUUUUCGGAUUGUAAACUCCUUUUGUUAGAGAAGAUAAUGGCGGUUUCUAGCAGAUAAACACCGGCUAACUCCGUGCCAGCAGCCGCGGUAAUACGGAGGGUGCAAGCGUUACUCGGAAUCACUGGGCGUAAAGAGCGCGUAGGCGGGAUAGCAAGUCAGAUGUUAAAUACUAUGGCUUAACCAGUGAACAGCAUUUGAAACUGUUAUACUAGAGUAUGGGAGAGGUAAGUGGAAUUCUUGGUGUAGGGGUAAAAUCCGUAGAGAUCAAGAGGAAUACUCAUGGCGAAGGCGACCUGCUAGAACAUAACUGACGCUGAUGCGCGAAAGCGUGGGGAGCAAACAGGAUUAGAUACCCUUGUAGUC
rnacentral:rRNA from 1 species